GCUAACGAGCGCAACCCUCGUCGUGUGUUAUACGUGUCACACGAUACUGCCGGUAUCAAGCGGAGGAAGGUGGGAUGAUGUCAAGUCAGCAUGGCCUUUAUAUCCUGGGCUACACACACGCUACAAUGGCAGAUACAAUAGGUUGCGAAACCGCGAGGUGGAGCCAAUCCUCAAAGUCUGUCUCAGUUCAGAUUGUAGGCUGCAACUCGCCUGCAUGAAGUUGGAGUUGCUAGUAAACGCAGGUCAGCUAUACUGCGUUGAAUACGUUCCCGGGGUUU
rnacentral:rRNA from 1 species